CACCUGGUGGCACAAGGUGUGCAUCUGCAGUAUAUGACAAGUCAUCUAUAUGCUCUAUGCAGAAGUUCCCUGUUCGAUUCGGGGUCGGGUGA